AUUGAACGCUAGCGGGAUGCUUUACACAUGCAAGUCGAACGCGUGGCGGACGGGUGAGUAAUAUAUCGGAACGAGCCCAGUAGCGGGGGAUAACUCAGCGAAAGAGUGGCUAAUACCGCAUAGUAUUCGAGCGGAGGAUAUUGUACUAGCUAGUUGGUGGGGUAAAGGCUGACCAAGGCAACGAUCCGUAGAUGGUUUGAGAGGGCGAACGGCCACACUGGGACUGAGACACGGCCCAGACUCCUACGGGAGGCAGCAGUGGGGAAUUUUGGGCAAUGGGGGAAACCCUGAUCCAGCCAUCCCGCGUGUAUGAGAAGGUCUUCGGGUUGUAAAGUACUUUUGUCAGAGAAGCGGUAUCUGCAGAAUAAGCACCGGCUAACUACGUGCCAGCAGCCGCGGUAAUUC
rnacentral:rRNA from 1 species